GAUGAACGCUAGCUACAGGCUUAACACAUGCAAGUCGCGGGGCAGCAUGGGGGUUGCUUGCAACCCCUGAUGGCGACCGGCGCACGGGUGAGUAACGCGUAUCCAACCUGCCCUUCACCACGGGAUAACCCGGAGAAAGUCGGACUAAUACCGUAUGUUGUCCAUUGACGGCCUCCGAUUUGGAAGAGAGGCUUGGCGGUGGAAGGAUGGGGAUGCGUUCGAUUAGGUUAAGGGGGGGGUAACGGCCCACCGUGGCUACGAUCGGUAGGGGUUCUGAGAGGAAGGUCCCCCACACUGGAACUGAGACACGGUCCAGACUCCUACGGGAGGCAGCAGUGAGGAAUAUUGGUCAAUGGGCGUAAGCCUGAACCAGCCAAGUAGCGUGCAGGAUGACGGCCCUAUGGGUUGUAAACUGCUUUUAUGCGGGGAUAAAGUGGCCCACGUGUGGGCUUUUGCAGGUACCGCAUGAAUAAGGACCGGCUAAUUCCGUG
rnacentral:rRNA from 1 species